rnacentral:rRNA from 1 species
AAUAGAUACCCGGGUAGUCCACCCCGUAAACGUUGGGAACUAGUUGUGGGGCCUUUCCACGGUCUCCGUGACGCAGCUAACGCAUUAAGUUCCCCGCCUGGGGAGUACGGCCGCAAGGCUAAAACUCAAAGGAAUUGACGGGGACCCGCACAAGCGGCGGAGCAUGCGGAUUAAUUCGAUGCAACGCGAAGAACCUUACCAAGGCUUGACAUAUACGGGAACGGGCUAGAAAUAGUCAACUCUUUGAACACUCGUAUACAGGUGGUGCAUGGUUGUCGUCAGCUCGUGUCGUGAGAUGUUGGGUUAAGUCCCGCAACGAGCGCAACCCUCGUUCUCUGUUGCCAGCACGUUAUGGUGGGAACUCAGGGGAUACUACCGGGGUCAACUCGGAGGAAGGUGGGGAUGACGUCAAAUCAUCAUGCCCCUUAUGUCUUGGGCUUCACGCAUGCUACAAUGGCCGGUACAAAGGGCUGCAAUACCGUGAGGUGGAGCGAAUCCCAAAAAGCCGGUCCCAGUUCGGAUUGAGGUCUGCAACUCGACCUCAUGAAGUCGG